UUCAGAUGAGUUAAAACAAAACACUUGUGCCAUUGUUACCACUCCUAUAUCUAACCAUAAUGCUAAUAAAUAAAUAAAUAAAUAAAUUGCCCCUGUAGGUUAUUUCAGAUGAGUUAAAACAAAACACUUGUGCCAUUGUUACCACUGCUAUAUCUAACCAUAAUGAUAAUAAAUAAAUAAAUAAAUAAAUUGCCCCUGUAGGUUAUCUCAGAUGAGUUAAAACAAAACACUUGUGCCAUUGUUACCACUCCUAUAUCUAACCAUAAUGCUAAUAAAUAAAUAAAUAAAUAAAUUGCCCCUGUAGGUUAUUUCAGAUGAGUUAAAACAAAACACUUGUGCCAUUGUUACCACUCCUAUAUCUAAACAUUAUGCUAAUAAAUAAAUAAAUACAUAAAUAAAUUGCCCCUGUAGGUUAUUUCAGAUGAGUUAAAACAAAACACUUGUGCCAUUGUUACCACUCCUAUAUCUAACCAUAAUGCUAAUAAAUAAAUAAAUAAAUAAAUUGCCCCUGUAGGUUAUUUCAGAUGAGUUAAAACAAAACACUUGUGCCAUUGUUACCACUCCUAUAUCUAACCAUAAUGCUAAUAAAUAAAUAAAUAAAUAAAUAAAUUGCCCCUGUAGGUUAUUUCAGAUGAGUUAAAACAAAACACUUGUGCCAUUGUUACCACUCCUAUAUCUAACCAUAAUGUUAACAAAUAAAUAAAUAAAUUGCCCCUGUAGGUUAUUUCAGAUGAGUUAAAACAAAACACUUGUGCCAUUGUUACCACUCCUAUAUCUAACCAUAAUGCUAAUAAAUAAAUUAAUUAAUUAAUUGCCACUCUAGGUUAUUUCAGAUGAGUUAAAAAAAAACACUUGUGCCAUUGUUACCACUCCUAUAUCUAACCAUAAUGCUAAUAAAUAAAUAAAAUAAUUAAUUAAUUGCCCCUGUAGGUUAUUUCAGAUGAGUUAAAACAAAACACUUGUGCCAUUGUUACCACUCCUAUAUCUAACCAUAAUGCUAAUAAAUAAAUAAAUAAAUUGCCCCUGUAGGUUAUUUCAGAUGAGUUAAAACAAAACACUUGUGCCAUUGUUACCACUCCUAUAUCUAACCAUAAUGCUAAUAAAUAAAUAAAUAAAUAAAUAAAUGAAUAAAUUGCCCCUGUAGGUUAUUUCAGAUGAGUUAAAACAAAACACUUGUGCCAUUGUUACCACUCCUAUAUCUAACCAUAAUGCUAAUAAAUAAAUAAAUAAAUAAAUUGCCCCUGUAGGUUAUUUCAGAUGAGUUAAAACAAAACACUUGUGCCAUUGUUACCACUCCUAUAUCUAACCAUAAUGCUAAUAAAUAAAUAAAUAAAUUGCCCCUGUAGGUUAUUUCAGAUGAGUUAAAACAAAACACUUGUGCCAUUGUUACCACUCCUAUAUCUAACCAUAAUGCUAAUAAAUAAAUAAAUUAAUUAAUUAAUUGCCCCUGUAGGUUAUUUCAGAUGAGUUAAAACAAAACACUUGUGCCAUUGUUACCACUCCUAUAUCUAACCAUAAUGCUAAUAAAUAAAUAAAUAAAUAAAU